rnacentral:lncRNA from 1 species
AGCAGUUGGACCUCACAGUGUGGAUUGUGCCUUCACCCUGGAAUGUUUAUGCCCUAUCGCCAUGGUGAUGGGAUUAGGGAUCUCCUGCCCUUGGUCCUAAGUGCCACUAUCUGUGCUGAGUUUUUCAAAGGUCAGAGCAGAUUGAACCAUUGUGGUUUCAUUUUCCCUGAUUUUGAUUUUUCUUAUGGGGAACCUGUCUUGCUGCAUUCAAGGUGACUCGAAGAAGCCUUCCAAAAAGCGUGUGAAAAGGAAGCCCUACUCUACUACCAAGGUGACUUCAGGGAGCACAUUCAAUGAGAAUACAAGAAGAUAUGCUGUGCACACCAACCAGUGUAGGAGACCUCAUGGCUCCCGGGUAAAGAAGAAGAGGUACCCACAAGAAGAUGACUUCCAUCAUACAGUCUUCAGCAAUCUUGAAAGAUUGGACAAGCUUCAGCCCACUCUUGAAGCCUCUGAGGAGUCUCUAGUUCACAAGGACAGAGGAGAUGGAGAGAGGCCAGUCAACGUGAGGGUGGUGCAGGUGGCCCCUCUGAGGCAUGAAUCUACUCCCUAUGAGGACACUGUACACGACAUCGCUA